rnacentral:rRNA from 1 species
UCUACGAUGUCAGUGGUAGGAGAGCGUUCUAAGGGCAGUGAAGGUCGAUCGUGAGGACGGCUGGAGCGCUUAGAAGUGAGAAUGCCGGUAUGAGUAGCGAAAAAAGAGUGAGAAUCUCUUUCAUCGAAAGCCCAAGGUUUCCUGAGGAAGGCUCGUCCGCUCAGGGUUAGUCGGGGCCUAAGCCGAGGCCGAAAGGCGUAGGCGAUGGAUAACAGGUUGAUAUUCCUGUACCACCUAAAUCCGCUUGAACGAUGGGGGGACGCAGGAGGAUAAGGAAAGCGCGCUGCUGGUUAUGCGCGUCCAAGCCGUGAGGAAGUUGAGCAGGCAAAUCCACUCAACAUUAAUUCAGUCGGUUAUGGGGAGGGAAAU